GAUGCUUUUCUUAAAGGGGAAUAUCUUGU
rnacentral:piRNA from 1 species